ensembl:snoRNA
AGCCUGUGAUGAACAACUAAUUACUUUUCUGACAUCUCCAAUGAGAGCUGAUCAUCAGCCUUUGAUUCUAACUUUAUUCUGAGGCUC